AUGGGUGACAAAAAUUCAGUUCCAAAGAGGGAGACUCACGAGAGAAUAGAUGCAUCAUCCACCAUUCCACCAGAUAGUCCUAAGCCAUACGGCUAUCAAGGGAACGCUAUUCUGGGCAUCUCCUUGCUACGAAAUGAGAAGGCAGAGUGCUCAGGUGAAUGCAACUCACAAGUGCCUCAUGAUCUCUUCCUUUGGGCCGCAGGCCUGAGCUCCCAUUUCCUACUAUCUGCAACUCAGCACCUCCAACAACACUCUGCAACUACUUCGUUGAACUCAAAGGCUGUGACUCAGUAUUCAAGUCUGCUUUCUCCAAUGAGUGUAAAUGCAGUGAUGAAAGUGCUUGACUCAGCCACAGCUACUAGUAUAGAUCUCAGAGAUAUUAAAAUAGUUAAGGAACUCAGUGGGACAAUUGAUGACUGUGAGUUGGUGAAGAGGCUCAUUCUCAUCCAAAGAGUGGUGAUUCUGGCAUAUCCAGAGUUGAAAGGCUAAGACUGGGCUUAUUCAGUUUUGCUUAUUUGCUUUCAAAGCAGAUAUGGAUAAUCAAAUCAUUUCUGACAAUGCCCAGAUGGACAGAGCUCUGCAAUAAGAGAAGGCUUAUAUUUUAAAUUUAGUGAAGCAGAUUUGAAAGACAGAAUGUAAUGUCCUUCUUAUACAGAAGUCUAUCCUAAGAAAUGCCCUUUGUGAUCUUGCAUUACAUUUUCUGAACAAGAUGAAAAUUAUGGUGGUUAAGGAUAUUGAAAGAGAAGACAUCAAGUUCAUUUGUAAGACAACUGGAACUAAACCAGUUUUCCAUAUUAACCAAUGCACUGCUGACAUACUGGGUUCUGCUAAGUUAGCUGAGGAAGUCAAUUUAAAUGGUUCUGGAAAACUACUCAGGAUUACGGACUGUGCAAGCCCUGGAAAAACUGUUACGAUUGUAUGUGGUUCUAACAAGCUAGUGCUGGAAGAAGCUUAGUGCUCCAUUCACUAUGCCCUGUGUGUUAUUUGCUACUUAGUGAAGAAGAGAGGUCUUAUUGCAGGAGGCAGUGCCCCACAAAUAGAGUUGGCCCUAAGAUUGACUGAAUAUUCAUGAACAGUGAGUGGCAUGGAAUCCUAUGGUGUUUGUGCUUUCACAGAUGCAAUGGAGGUCAUUCCAUCUAUACUAGCUGAAAAAGCUGGCCUUAAUCCCAAUUCUACAGUAAGAGAAUAAAGAAACCAGCAUUCCCAUGGAGAAAAAACAUCAGGGAUUAAUGAUCAAAAGGGAGGUAUUUCCAACAUUGUGGAAGAAAUGGUUGUCCAGCCUCUCUUGGUUUCAGUCAGCACUCUGACCCUAGCAACUGAAACUGAAAACGAUGAUGUGGUAGAAACCCAAUUAUCUGGAUUCCACUGGCAGACUGCCAUCAUCACGGCCACCAAUACUGUGGCUAGAGUGGAAGAUGAUCACCUUGAUAUUCCUUGUUGUCUGGAAGAUUGUUUCCUCUGUGAAUUCCUGGACUUGGGCUUCUAG